CUUUGAUCUUCCUGCAGUGGAUGAGAGCUGUUUGGGUUUUUAAGGCCCUCGCCAAUUAUAUGAAAUGGACGCAGAACUGGGUUUGAGGCUAGCCUUCUGGGUGGCUCCAAGGUCCCUCAACGGUUUUUAUUCUUUCUCCUCCCAUCUCCCCCACAUCCCCAGUGCUGAAAGAACUGAGGAAAAGGAAGCAGCAGGCAGUGCUGAAAGAAAAAUGAGCUUCCUGAGCCCAUGGUCCAGGAGGUCAGCAGUGUAUCUCUCACCUUUGAGCAGCUUCAGAAUGGCAUCCCAACAGAGCCCUGUCACUGAGCCACUUCUCUCUGAGAUUUAAGAUCAAAAGAGUCAAGUAUCCAGGUCCCUGCAGAUUUAAGCACCAACCUCUCAGCAAAU
rnacentral:lncRNA from 1 species